UACGUAGGGGGCUAGCGUUGUCCGGAAUCAUUGGGCGUAAAGAGCGUGUAGGCGGUCCGGUAAGUCGGCUGUGAAAGUCCAGGGCUCAACCCUGGGAUGCCGGUGGAUACUGUCGAGCUCGAGUCCGGAAGAGGCGAGUGGAAUUCCUGGUGUAGCGGUGAAAUGCGCAGAUAUCAGGAGGAACACCAAUGGCGAAGGCAGCUCGCUGGGACGUGACUGACGCUGAGACGCGAAAGCGUGGGGAGCAAACAGG
rnacentral:rRNA from 1 species